GACGAACGCUGGCGGCGUGCCUAAUACAUGCAAGUCGAACGCAGUGGGGACGGGUGAGUAACACGUGGGUAACCCCCCAUCAGAGGGGAUAACACUUGGAAACAGGUGCUAAACCGAUACUGAUGGAUGGACCAGCGGUGCAUUAGCUGGUGGGUGAGGUAACGGCUCACCAGGGCCACGAUGCAUAGCCGACGUGAGAGGGGGGUCGGCCACACUGGGACUGGGACGCGGCCCAGAGUCCUACGGGAGGCAGCAGUAGGGAAUCUUCGGCAAUGGACGGAAGUCUGACCGAGCAACGCCGCGUGAGUGAAGAAGGUUUUCGGAUCGUAAAACUCUGUUGUUAGAGAAGCGGUAUCUAACCAGAAAGCCACGGCUAACUACGUGCCAGCAGCCGCGGUAAUUC
rnacentral:rRNA from 1 species